rnacentral:rRNA from 1 species
GACGAACCGUGCGAACGUUGUUCGGAAUCACUGGGCUUAAAGGGAGCGUAGGCGGGCUAUCAAGUCUGGGGGUGAAAUGCCGCGGCUCAACCGUGGAACUGCCUUAGAUACUGACGGCCUCGAGGAAGAUAGGGGCAUGCGGAACUGUAGGUGGAGCGGUGAAAUGCGUAGAUAUCAAGAGGAACACCGGUGGCGAAGGCGGCUCUCUGGUCCAAUCCUGACGCUGAGGUGCGAAAGCUAGGGGAGCAAACGGG